GCUGUGCUAGGUGUCAGAAAGCUUGUCAAGGUAAUCAGCACUGUGGCUGAGAGAAUGGAGAAGCUCACUUGCAGCCUGAGAGCAUCAAUUGCAUAGUAUUAGUGUUCUACAGAGUGGGCACCUCCUCAAGCUGAGCUGCCUGAUAGAAAUUCCUACUUGCAGGAUUUCCAGCAUCUGUGAAAGUUUAACCACAUGCUGUGUCUUGGAAAACUAAAGAUCCAACUUCGAGCAAUUGGUGGAGCAAAUAGAUAGGGACUUUCAAAGAGUCAAUCUUCUUCAGCCUGCUGCCCAUGGAUCAGUGGAAACUAUUGGCUGCACUAGUGCCAACCAGAACUCCACACAGCAGUCUGAGCCCUCCUUACCACCACAACUUCUGAGGAGGAAGACUGUGAUCCAACAGAGGAUGCACUGGCAAGGUGUUCAGACCCGUACCAUUCAAUAGCACAGAGACUGUCAAUGUAGUGGGUAUCUUAGUAGACUCUGGGACACAAUCUGGUGAACAAAUCACAGCUAUGUGAUUGAAGCAUCAAUAAGACAGACAUUCCAUUAAAGUGGCAAAUCUUCCAGCAUUCUGUUGACUCCCCCAAAGCAUGGAAGGAUUACAGACAAUUUAUCUUUUUCUACAGAUGCAUGGAAUUCUGGUCAGUAUUUCAUGGAAGGCGAUGGGAGUGUUGCAGUGUUGGCUGAAGAAUAGGCAUAAGCUUCGGUAACCUCCUUUCACCUAGGCCAGCUGAAGCAAUUUUUCAUCAAGGUCCUGAGGGCAGGAAUCAACCCCCACCCAGGAGAACUCCCUCACCCAUCCCCCUCCCCAAACCCCCAGAGAAAUGCUGGAUAAUCAGCGGCUUAAAGCUGUACAUUGAUUGACAGAGUCACUGGGGGAGGAGCAAAGACAGCUGCCAGCAAUGCAUCCAUUCAGGGCCCAUUACCACCGAGCCUCAGGUGAGUGAUGGAAGGACAGGGACUGUGGAGUGCGGGCUUGCUGGAGUGAGGGAGCUUAGCAGCAUGGACAGGCAUAUGGCUGUUAGUGGGCUCUCUCCUUCUGAUGCGAGUUCUGUUGUUCUGUGUCAGAAGUGCUGUGUAUCUUUAAACGAGUACCCCAAUUCACAGCCUUGCUUUUCAAUCUGCUGCUUGAUGAGCCCUCCAUCCAGCAUGAGCUGAAAACCAAUGGUAAUGUGAACAGAGCCUUAAAUGGAUAUGAAUUACCUAUUUAUGCAUCAAUUAUACAGUACUAAUUAAUAAAGUUCAGAUUUGUAUUCUGAAUUAAGAAGAUCAAUAAAAAGUGAUGAACAGCUCUGAAUAUUAGCUAAGACAGAAGAAUUAUUUUCACCCAUGGCAAAUUUGACCAAACCUGACAAAGCCCAUUACUUCAACAUUCCAUCUUAAAACGAUCAAACAAGCAAAGGCCUGAAAAUCCCCUUCUGUGUUGCAGAGGUAAACCAUGUCUGUGUAGGGAUCUUCCUCAACUGCACCCUAUUGAAUAAACAGCAUCUUUGAAGUAGGUCAGUUCUGAAGAAGACUUACAUUGAGCUGAAAAAGUUAACCCUGUUUCUCUCUCCACAGAUGCUGCCAGACCUGCUGAGUUUCUUGAGCAUUCUCUGUUUUAAUUUUAGGUUUCACCAUCUGCUUUUGCUUUUAUUUUGCUUUUAUUCUCUUAUUAGGUCAACCUGAUCCAGUGCCCUGCCAAUCCUAAUGAAGAGAAGACACCCAAACUCCUCAUACAGCAGCACUCACCCUGAUGCAGUGUGCAGGGCAGUUACCCUGUUAUACUCCACAGAGCAAUACUGUUUCCCGUGGAUAUGCAACUGAAUUCAACUGUAAGAAUUAUCAAUGUUGUCUGUUUAUUGACGCCACCAUUUUGGCUGCCUGUGCUGAUAAACAUCAUAUCUCCACUUCUGCCUUAGAUGUACAGUUUCCAGAGGAUACAGCAUUACCCACAAUAACUGAGAUUAGCUUGAUCAAUGUGUCUCAAAUCCAGAAGCCACUUUGGGCAUUUGCUUAAGCCCUUCAGCGACCUCCCUCAACCUUGCCAAAUGAUAUAGUAAUGCUCUAAAGCACUUGGAAUUCUCUUCCUCAAAAGGCAGCGGAAAUAGAGAAUUUGCUAUUUUAAAGCUAGAGGUGGAUUGACUCUUGUUAAGCAGAGGGGAGCGAAAGUUACCAGGAGUAGUUGAGAUUGGGAAGUUGAGGUCACAGUGAGAUCAGUUUUAUCGAAUGGUGGAGUAGAUUUGAGGGGCUGAGCGGCCUACUCCUAUUUUGCAAGUUUGUAUGAGAUGUACCAAAUGAAUACCAUAAAGAGGACCUCACAGCACAACCUGAAUGAUCCAACCCUCCUCACAAACAAAAAUAACCACCAGCAGUUCCCCCACGUUCAUGGGAAUGGGCGGGUAAACCCUGGAUUCAGUUACACGUUGACUAUGCGGGUCAUUUCAUGGGCUCAAUGUUCUUAGUCACUGUGGACACAUACUCAAAGUGGCUGGAUGUGCAUAAAGUUAAUCAUCAAAUAUGGGGAUGAUGAAAGAAAAACUGCAUGCAUCUUUUGCAACGUAUAGACUCCUGGAAAUGUUGGUAACAGAUAAUAGGCUAUCAUUUACCAGAAAGGAAUUUGAGUAUUUCCUCAAGUCAAAUGGUGUUUCUCAUAUAAGGACAGCUUCAUACCAUCCAUUAUCCAAUGGCCUGGCAGAAAGAGUCAUCUAAUCUUUGAAGGCAGGCUUGAAGAUACAGCCUACGGCUUCACCAGAUACCAAACAGUCCCAGUUCCUAUUUGAUUAUAGGACCAUGCCGCAUGGUCCCUCAGAAAGGGUCCAGGCCCGAAACGUCAGCCUUCCUGCUCCUCUGAUGCUGCUUGGCUUACUGUGUUCAUCCAGCUCUACACCUUGUUAUCUCCGCGUGUUACAUGGUGCCCAUAUCAGAGGCAGAGUUGGAGGAAGCUGACGCGCUGCUAAAAUGCCCCCGGAGGAGCUACAAAAAACAACAGCCUGUGGGCUCAGAGAGAAGGGAUAUAGUGAUUGCAACAAGGUCGGUCAGGUGGACCUCAUAGAAUAGCUCCAGCAGAGUUGCUAAUGGAGAGAAGACUCUGCACCAGGUUAAAUCUGACCUUUCUAAACCUGGGGUUAAGGGUGAAACAGCAUCAGGAAUGCCAAUGCUGGACACAAGACUCCGCUAAGCAAGUGAGAGACAGUUUACUUUGGGGGACGAAGUUUGAUGUAGGAACCACGGGAAUGGCCCUGCAUGUGUAACAGGUAUGGUUGACCCAAGGUCAGAUCUAGUGACGUACAUAGUUCAGGUAGAUGUGACGAUCCUGAAUAAGUACAUGGACCACAUGAAAGCUCACAAACAGUGUGGGAGCAAAAUGUGCCUGGCUCCUCGACUGCCUUUCUUACUGUUUCAGAAGCCGUGGGUUCUCCCUCUCUGUCAAGCAUUGAAGAUACCCUGGAAUCUGAGAUAGAUAUGGUGGAUGUUGCUGUCUUGAUGCUUUUGCCACCUGAACAGGAGAAUGAAUUUCUUUUGGCAUGUUCUGGGUGCAAGAGGCAAGCUGCUGCGUGUUACAUGGUUUCAGAGAUAGUAGGAACUGCAGAUGCUGGAGAAUCU